UAUAAAACAACAACAACAAGGACUUUUUUGGAUUUUUUUUAUCAUUUUAGUAUCGCAAUGUCGGCAAAAAAGAAAUCAGUAUUGUUUAUAUGUUUAGGAAAUAUAUGUAGGUCACCAAUGGCAGAAGCGGUGUUUUUAAAUCUGCUGAAAGAACAGGGUUUAACUGACAAGUGGCAUGUAGACAGUGCUGCUCUGGGGACAUGGCAUAUCGGUAUCAGCCCAGACAGUCGCACUAUAUCUACCCUGCAGAAACAUGGCAUCACAACCUACAAGCAUGUAGCUAGAGUAGUAAGAAAAGUCCUUACAAGAAGGUUAUGUGAUGACGAUUAUACCAAGUUUGACGUAAUUUUUGGGAUGGAUGACAAUAAUAUGAGUGAGCUAGAUGAGCAGAAGCCCCAGACAUAUACAGCUAGAUUGGAGAGACUAGGAGAUCACGACCCAGAGGGCGACACCAUCAUCAGAGACCCAUAUUUUGAUGCUAGAGGCGAUAUGUCCGGAUUUGAGAAGGUCUAUGCGCAGUGUUGGCAUGUAGACAGUGCUGCUCUGGGCACAUUGCAUAUCGGUAUCAGCCCAGACAGUCGCACUAUAUCUACUCGGCAGAAACAUGGCAUCACAACCUACAAGCAUGUAGCUAGAGUAGUAAGAAAAGUCCUUACAAGAAGGUUAUGUGAUGACGAUUAUACCAAGUUUGACGUAAUUUUUGGGAUGGAUGACAAUAAUAUGAGUGAGCUAGAUGAUAGGAAGCCCCAGACAUGUACAGCUAGAUUGGAGAGACUAGGAGAUCACGACCCAGAGGGCGACACCAUCAUCAGAGACCCAUAUUUUGAUGCUAGAGGCGAUUUGUCCGGAUUUGAGAAGGUCUAUGCGCAGUGUAUUGCCCUGUGAAUGUCAAUGAAGCCGAGACAGAGACAGAGUUGCAGAGCAAAGAAUUGGAUUCACUUAUUACUGAAUCGGGAGUUAUCUAUCUAUGGGAGGGGCGAAUCAGAAGUGGUCAUAAGGAACAUUGUGAUUAAAGGUGAAGCAGCUUUCUUUUUUUGUAGUCAUUUCUUAUUUUGUCACAAUGUUUUGAUUUUGCUUAAGUAACCUGCACCAGCUGGAAUAAAAAUAAAAAAAAUCGAUGUGCUCUCAGAUUGUGGUGCAUCGUGCAUUGUGUCAGAGAUGACCCGAAAGGACAGUGACCACAAGAGCCAAGAAUCCAAAACACAGCCUUAUAUUUAUACAAAGUUUAUAUUGUUUAUAUUUUCAUUGUUAUUUAGUGUGCUAUAUUGAUAUUCAUUGUGAAAGUAAAUGUUUCCAUUGAAUAAAUUGAAAGCAAAUGA